CAAUAGCGUAUAUUAAAGUUGUUGCGGUUAAAAAGCUCGUAGUUGGAUUUCUGCCGAGGACGACCGGUCCGCCCUCUGGGUGAGCAUCUGGCUCGGCCUGGGCAUCUUCUUGGAGAACGUAUCUGCACUUGACUGUGUGGUGCGGUAUUCAGGACUUUUACUUUGAGGGAAUCCGAGUGUUUCAAGCAGGCAUACGCCUUGAAUACAUUAGCAUGGGAUAACAAGAUAGGACCUCGAUUCUAUUUUGUUGGUUUCUAGAGCUGAGGUAGUGAGUAAUAAGGAUAGUUGGGGGCAUUCGUAAUUAACUGUCAGAGUUGGAAUUCUUGGAUUUGUUAAUGACGGACUACUGCGAAAGCAUUUGCCAAGGAUGUCCCCAUUGAUCAAGAACGAAAGUAGGGGGAUCGAAGAUGAUCAGAUACC
rnacentral:rRNA from 1 species